GAUGAACGCUGGCGGCGUGCUUAACACAUGCAAGUCGAACGAUGAAGCCCAGCUUGCUGGGUGGAUUAGUGGCGAACGGGUGAGUAACACGUGAGUAACCUGCCCUUGUCUCUGGGUUAAGCCUGGGAAACUGGGUCUAAUACUGGAUAUGACUUCUCUUCGCAUGGUGGGGGGUGGAAAGAUUUAUUGGUAUUGGAUGGAUUCGCGGCCUAUCAGCUUGUUGGUGAGGUAAUGGCUCACCAAGGCGACGACGGGUAGCCGGCCUGGGAGGGUGACCGGCCACACGGGGACUGAGACACGGACCAGACUCCAACGGGAGGCAGCAGUGGGGAAUAUUGCACAGUGGGCGCAAGCCUGAUGCAGCGACGCCGCGUGAGGGAUGACGGCCUUCGGGUUGUAAACCUCUGUCAGUAGGGAAGAAGCGAGAGUGACGGUACCUGAAGAAGAAGCGCCGGCUAACUACGUG
rnacentral:rRNA from 1 species